GAUGAACGCUAGCUACAGGCUUAACACAUGCAAGUCGAGGGGCGAGCAUGGAUUUACUUCGGUUAGAUUUGAUGGCGACCGGCGCACGGGUGCGUAACGCGUAUCCAACCUUCCCGUUACUCUGGGAUAGCCCUUCCGAAAGGGAGAUUAAUACCGGAUGGUGUUCAAAUGGUGCAUAUUAUUUGGAACUAAAGAUUUAUCGGUAACGGAUGGGGAUGCGUGACAUUAGAUAGUAGGCGGGGUAACGGCCCACCUAGUCUACGAUGUCUAGGGGGUUCUGAGAGGAAGGUUCCCCCCACACUUGGAACUGAGACACGGUUCCAGACUUCCUACGGGGAGGCAGCAGUUGAGGAAUUAUUGGGUCCAAAUGGUCCGGAAGACUGAACCAGCCAAGUUAGCGUGAAGGGAUUGAAGGUUCCUAUGGAUUG
rnacentral:rRNA from 1 species